GUAAUUCAAUGUACGGCCACGUUUAUAAUAUCAACUUUACCGGUCUGCCGGAAUCGCCUAAACAACCGUAGUUCGUGUACUGCUCGCUCGUUCUAAAUAUUGAUAAUACUUAUCAUCAAUUAUAAUAUUAUUAUAAUCGCGUGUCAUGCGGAGGACAAACGCUGUCGUCGCCUCUGGUGGGCCGCCGAAAUAUUAAACGCGAGCUGCGGUUCCGGAGGAAGAGGCUUCCCCGUCCGUGUGUACAUGUAUAAUUUAUUAUUAUAAGUGGUACAACAAUUAUACGGGGUGAUCAAUCAUCGAUGGAACUCUCAUUAUCUCGGAAUGUAUUAACUUCUUUUCGAACAGCUUAAGAAAGAAGCGCAGCUCCAAAAUGUUACGUCGCCG